UACGUAGGGUCCGAGCGUUGUCCGGAAUUAUUGGGCGUAAAGGGUUCGUAGGCGGUCUGUUGCGUCGGGAGUGAAAACUUACAGCUUAACUGUGAGCGUGCUUUCGAUACGGGCAGACUUGAGGCAUUCAGGGGAGAACGGAAUUCCUGGUGUAGCGGUGAAAUGCGCAGAUAUCAGGAGGAACACCGGUGGCGAAGGCGGUUCUCUGGGCCUUACCUAACGCUGAGGAGCGAAAGCAUGGGGAGCAAACAGG
rnacentral:rRNA from 1 species